UACGGGGGGGGCAAGCGUUGUUCGGAAUUACUGGGCGUAAAGGGCGCGUAGGCGGUUUGCUAAGUUGAAUGUGAAAACUCUGGGCUUAACCCAGAGCCUGCAUUCAAUACUGGCAGGCUAGAGUUCUGGAGGGGAUAGCGGAAUUCCUGGUGUAGCGGUGAAAUGCGUAGAUAUACGGAGGAACACCGGUGGCGAAGGCGGCAUCCUGGACCGGCAUUGACGCUGAGGCGCGAAAGCCAGGGGAGCAAACGGG
rnacentral:rRNA from 1 species